AUUGAACGCUGGCGGCAGGCCUAACACAUGCAAGUCGAACGAGUGGCGGACGGGUGAGUAAUGUCUGGGAAACUGCCUUAUGGAGGGGGAUUACUACUGGAAACGGUAGCUAAUACCGCAUAUCAUCGGAAUUUCCCAGAUGGGAUUAGCUAGUAGGUGGGGUAAAGGCUCACCUAGGCGACGAUCCCUAGCUGGUCUGAGAGGAUGACCAGCCAGGCUUGAACGGAGACACGGUCCAGACGCCUACGGGAGGCAGCAGUGGGUAAUAUUGCACGAUGGGCGCAAGCCUGAUGCAGACAGGCCGCGUGUAUGAAGAAGGCCUUCGGGUUGUAAAGUACUUUCCGCGGGGAGGCGUUACCCGCAGAAGAAGCACCGGCUAACUCCGUGCCAGCAGCCGCGGUAAUUC
rnacentral:rRNA from 1 species